CCAUCUAUCGAAAUAUAUUUCAGCUAUUAAGCCCGAUUUUUGUGUACAAAAAAUCGGCACUUUGUUUUCGUUUUAUUUUUGUACUAAAAGUCGGGCUUAAUUCAAAAUCAAUGUUUAAUUUGGAAUUUUGGAUUACUCAGCCUUACAGUGUGAAAAAAUAGACAGUGGAAACAAUUCUGCUCAUUGUGCUGAUCUGCACAAUGCCAGAUUCAUGACUAUUCAGUAUUAAAAUACUCUUACCUUAAGGAAAUUUUCAGUUGUGGACUUUCUUUAGAUGACUCUUGUAUUGGAAAUUUUAUCCUGAUUCUUGGAACAAGGAACAUAGCAUGUCUUGAUUCCAACGAAGUGUCAUAGGAAAGAUUGUAAAAAGAUGUUAAGAAUUAUGUUGCUUCUUUGGACAGCAGAUUUAGAUCAUGUGUCUACUGUGAAAGAGAUCAUUUGUCUCAACGAAAAUGGCUCUCUCCCGUUUGCGACAUCAGACCUCCCCAGUGUGUCAUUUUGAUGCAGAACUCUUGAAAUCAAGUUGAAGGUUUUGAACCAUCUCAGGCCAAAGCUGAAGUUCUAGAGGUAUUAGAAAAUCGUCGCUCUUUGGUUAGAGUUUCUUCGCCGUCCGAUGCAUCAAUUGAAAUGAUGUUCACUUCCUCGACAUCAUUGCUCACGUAAUUUAAUAACUUUGUGUUUCGAAAAAAGUUGUACUUCUCUUCAAUUUCCAAAAGAAAACUAUGAUGGAUUAUUCUUAUCUCGAGGUUAUAUCGAUCCGCAAAGGUAAAUCGGAAAAGGGUAUUCUUUUUCUUGACAUAAGAACGGAAAUCUGGUGAGCAGGAUGCAACGGACUAUGUCAUGUCAAACCAUUAGCUGAAUACAAUGAAUACCAUCAGUUCCCCAGAACGAGAGGUUAAUAAUCAUACUGAAUCAAAAGAGGCAUCGAGCUAAACGAGAUUUUAAAAUGAUAACAGUUGAAAGCGCAUGUGGAAAUUUCGAAGAACGCUUCCUAAACGUUACCUUUAGUCGCUGAUUCAUCUCGAAGAUAAAAUAAGUUAUUUUUAUAAAUUGAAGUGCAUAUCUGGGCUCCCUUCUUUUCUGUGGCCCCGUUUCCCCUUGACUUAUGAUAAGCCCGUAGGGGGUCAUGCCCCUACUGUGAUCAGCAGCAAAGGUUGUGAGU